UACAGAGGGUGCGAGCGUUAAUCGGAAUUACUGGGCGUAAAGCGCACGUAGGUGGCGGCGUAAGUCGGGUGUGAAAGCCCCGGGCUCAACCUGGGAAUUGCAUUCGAGACUGCAUCGCUGGAGUGCGGCAGAGGGGGAUGGAAUUCCGCGUGUAGCAGUGAAAUGCGUAGAUAUGCGGAGGAACACCGAUGGCGAAGGCAAUCCCCUGGGCCUGCACUGACGCUCAUGCACGAAAGCGUGGGGAGCAAACAGG
rnacentral:rRNA from 1 species